GAUGAACGCUGGCGGCGUGCCUAAUACAUGCAAGUCGAGCGAACGGACGAGAAGCUUGCUUCUCUGAUGUUAGCGGCGGACGGGUGAGUAACACGUGGAUAACCUACCUAUAAGACUGGGAUAACUUCGGGAAACCGGAGCUAAUACCGGAUAAUAUUUUGAACCGCAUGGUUCAAAAGUGAAAGACGGUCUUGCUGUCACUUAUAGAUGGAUCCGCGCUGCAUUAGCUAGUUGGUAAGGUAACGGCUUACCAAGGCAACGAUGCAUAGCCGACCUGAGAGGGUGAUCGGCCACACUGGAACUGAGACACUGUCCAGACUCCUACGGGAGGCAGCAGUAGGGAAUCUUCCGCAAUGGGCGAAAGCCUGACGGAGCAACGCCGCGUGAGUGAUGAAGGUCUUCGGAUCGUAAAACUCUGUUAUUAGGGAAGAACAUAUGUGUAAGUAACUGUGCACAUCUUGACGGUACCUAAUCAGAAAGCCACGGCUAACUACGUGCCAGCAGCCGCGGUAAUACGUAGGUGGCAAGCGUUAUCCGGAAUUAUUGGGCGUAAAGCGCGCGUAGGCGGUUUUUUAAGUCUGAUGUGAAAGCCCACGGCUCAACCGUGGAGGGUCAUUGGAAACUGGAAAACUUGAGUGCAGAAGAGGAAAGUGGAAUUCCAUGUGUAGCGGUGAAAUGCGCAGAGAUAUGGAGGAACACCAGUGGCGAAGGCGACUUUCUGGUCUGUAACUGACGCUGAUGUGCGAAAGCGUGGGGAUCAAACAGGAUUAGAUACCCUGGUAGUCCACGCCGUAAACGAUGAGUGCUAAGUGUUAGGGGGUUUCCGCCCCUUAGUGCUGCAGCUAACGCAUUAAGCACUCCGCCUGGGGAGUACGACCGCAAGGUUGAAACUCAAAGGAAUUGACGGGGACCCGCACAAGCGGUGGAGCAUGUGGUUUAAUUCGAAGCAACGCGAAGAACCUUACCAAAUCUUGACAUCCUUUGACAACUCUAGAGAUAGAGCUUUCCCCUUCGGGGGACAAAGUGACAGGUGGUGCAUGGUUGUCGUCAGCUCGUGUCGUGAGAUGUUGGGUUAAGUCCCGCAACGAGCGCAACCCUUAAGCUUAGUUGCCAUCAUUAAGUUGGGCACUCUAAGUUGACUGCCGGUGACAAACCGGAGGAAGGUGGGGAUGACGUCAAAUCAUCAUGCCCCUUAUGAUUUGGGCUACACACGUGCUACAAUGGACAAUACAAAGGGCAGCGAAACCGCGAGGUCAAGCAAAUCCCAUAAAGUUGUUCUCAGUUCGGAUUGUAGUCUGCAACUCGACUACAUGAAGCUGGAAUCGCUAGUAAUCGUAGAUCAGCAUGCUACGGUGAAUACGUUCCCGGGUCU
rnacentral:rRNA from 1 species